UCUACUUCGCAGCCACCACAAGGACUUACUUUUGAAAAAACACUAGAUUCUACAUUAACUGAACGUGAGAAGAUCCUGCUGAGUCAUUUGACUCAAACUAAAUUAAGCUUAAAGCGUUUGGCAGUCGAAAUGCGAACUGUGAGGAAGACACAAAUAAAUUGUUUGUAGCUUAUAACGAUAUUAGCAGGGUCCGCACUGACAUGCCUAAUAGAAAUAAUAAUGAUGACAUUCAAGUUGUUGAUGAGAUAUUUUAUCCUGUUUUGUCUUUGCCCAAUGAAAUCGAUUUCUUUUUAUAUGAAAAUGAUUUAUGUAACUUUUUGGAGCAGCCAGUAGUAUAUGUUAGUGGUUAUUUAGCUGCAAAAUUAUUAGAUAGAACGAAAUGUCAGAAAUGUAAAGAUUCGUUAAAAGUUGAUAAACCAGUAGACGACUUAAACAAUUAUAUUAGUUUUAAAGAAUGUUGGAAAGAUUCGAGCUCAUUGUGCUUUCCUUCUAAACCUUUAUGUCAUUUUGUAAACAAGAGCCAAAUUCAUUUCAAAGCUAUUAUAUCUCAGGACUUACAAAUUAAAAAUAUAAAGCAGUAGACUAUUUGCAAUUAAGUAAUGAGCAUUUUAUAGAAAAAAACAAAUCAAUUAAUUCAUAAUCUUUGUUUAUUAUUCAUUAGAAAAUCAUGUAAAGACAAAAAUAUAUAGAUAUAUUAGAAUAAUGUGAUCAAGACAAAGCUUAGAUAACAAUUUUUAAGAUUCUUGUUGAAUAUUUAUAUUUAUAUUGUCAGUACUAUAAAACAAUGUUUGUAGAAAACAUACAUAUUGGCAGUUCUUCUUGACAUCUAAUGUCUUUGCAAUGUUUUUUGUUUUCCAAGUU